CUACGGGAGGCUGCAGUGGGGAAUAUUGCACAAUGGAGGAAACUCUGAAGCAGCAACGCCGCGUGGAGGAUGACACUUUUCGGAGCGUAAACUCCUUUUAUAUAGGAAGAAGAUGACGGUACUAUAUGAAUAAGCGCCGGCUAACUCCGUGCCAGCAGCCGCGGUAAUACGGAGGGCGCAAGCGUUAUUCGGAAUCACUGGCGUAAAGAGCGUGUAGGCGGAUUAAAAAGUCAGAAGUGAAAUCCUAUAGCUUAACUAUAGAACUGCUUCUGAAACUCUUAAUCUAGAAUAUGGGAGAGGUAGAUGGAAUUUCUGGUGUAGGGGUAAAAUCCGUAGAGAUCAGAAGGAAUACCGAUUGCGAAGGCGAUCUACUAGAACAUUAUUGACGCUGAGACGCGAAAGCGUGGGGAGCAAACAGGAUUAGAUACCCCAGUAGUC
rnacentral:rRNA from 1 species